rnacentral:misc_RNA from 1 species
UCGUAACAAGGUCUCCGUUGGUGAACCAGCGGAGGGAUCAUUACCGAGUUUACAACUCCCAAACCCCUGUGAACAUACCACUUGUUGCCUCGGCGGAUCAGCCCGCUCCCGGUAAAACGGGACGGCCCGCCAGAGGACCCCUAAACUCUGUUUCUAUAUGUAACUUCUGAGUAAAACCAUAAAUAAAUCAAAACUUUCAACAACGGAUCUCUUGGUUCUGGCAUCGAUGAAGAACGCAGCAAAAUGCGAUAAGUAAUGUGAAUUGCAGAAUUCAGUGAAUCAUCGAAUCUUUGAACGCACAUUGCGCCCGCCAGUAUUCUGGCGGGCAUGCCUGUUCGAGCGUCAUUUCAACCCUCAAGCACAGCUUGGUGUUGGGACUCGCGUUAAUUCGCGUUCCCCAAAUUGAUUGGCGGUCACGUCGAGCUUCCAUAGCGUAGUAGUAAAACCCUCGUUACUGGUAAUCGUCGCGGCCACGCCGUUAAACCCCAACUUCUGAAUGUUGACCUCGGAUCAGGUAGGAAUACCCGCUGAACCUAAGCAUAUCA